rnacentral:rRNA from 1 species
GUGUCAGCAGCCGCGGUAAUACGGAGGAUGCAAGCGUUAUCCGGAAUGAUUGGGCGUAAAGCGUCCGCAGGUGGUUUGUCAAGUCUGCUGUUAAAGAGUUAGGCUCAACCUAAUAAAGGCAGUGGAAACUGAGAGACUAGAGUGCAUUCGGGGCAGAAGGAAUUCCUGGUGUAGCGGUGAAAUGCGUAGAGAUCAGGAAGAACACCGGUGGCGAAAGCGUUCUGCUAGGCUGCAACUGACACUGAGGGACGAAAGCUAGGGGAGCGAAUGGGAUUAGAUACCCCCGUAGUCC